UGCCAUUCCUGGAGGGAAGGAAUUCCAUCGGUGGUGGGAGCUGCUGGAAUCAUCUCAGCGCUGAGGACACCGGGCCGUGCCCAGGGCUGGCACUCAUCCCCUCGGCCAGGGAGCGGCUCCCGAGGCAGGAUUUGUCCCUGGAUGUCUCCUCUGCACCGGGACCCCGAGCCCUGAGCCUCGGCUGGGAUUUGGACGCUCCCUCCCGUCUGCAGCUGGGAACGGCACGGCCGGGAGGCUGCAGGCACCUGCUCCUCCCAAAUCCCGCGGAUUUACUGCUUCUGGCACCUUCCUGCUGGGAAUGGCUCCGUCCCAGGGAAUCUCCCGAGGGACAGAUGUGGGAAAGCAGCACUUAGAGGUUACAAUUCCUUCUUUUUCUGCGCUGCUCCUGAAUCCCGGCUCUGGAGGAGGAAGGAUCCCAUGCACUCCUGGAGGACAAAUCCUGCUGCUCCGAGGGCCCGUGCUGGAGGCUCGGGGUGAGGGCCAGAGGGGACAGCCAGGACACGCAGGAGCAGCUCCCGAGGCUGCGGCUGCAGCUCAGGGACAGCGAUGGAACCUCAGGGCUGGGAGAGGUUCUUCCCUCGCCUCCACACCCGGAACCUGCCCGGGCUCCAUCCCCUCCCCGUGAGGAGGAUCCCACCAGGAGCUCAGCUCCUGCCACACGGAACUGACAGAACUCCGUUUUCUGCUGGCCUUUGGGGAUUGUCCUCUUGGAUCCUGGUGAUGGAUGGAUGGAUGGUGAAGAGCUCCUGGCUCAAGCAGCAGCUCAGUGCUUUCCUCUGGCAAGGACCGAGCGCUUGCCCAGUUUCCAGUGGAUUUUUUUGGUCUUUAUUUUUACCCCUCUGCUCUUUUUUAAAAAAAUUUUUGCUGUUUUUGGGGGUUUGGGUGUUUCCUGUGGAUACUGGAGCUGCAGUGGAUCCCGUGGUGGGAACUGGAGCCUUUGGAAGAGCAGGAGCUGAGCUGGUGCUGGGGUUCCCAGCCCCCUGAGCUGGGUGGCCUCGGGAGGGUCCUUCUGCCACACCUGGAACAUCCCAGUGGAUCCCAGCCCAGGUGGGAGCGGGAAGCAGGCGCAGGAACGGGGGAAAAGCCGAACCUCAGUGAGGGGAAUGUCCCAAUGAGGGCAAAGUCACCCCCAGAGACAAUUAAAUUACAUUUAAUAAACCCCUCUGGCUCCGUGA